UACGAAGGGGGCUAGCGUUACUCGGAAUUACUGGGCGUAAAGGGCGCGUAGGCGGCGCUCCAAGUUAGGCGUGAAAGUCCUGGGCUCAACCUGGGAACUGCGCUUGAUACUGGAGUGCUUGAGGAUGGAAGAGGGUCGUGGAAUUCCCAGUGUAGAGGUGAAAAUUCGUAGAUAUUGGGAAGAACACCGGUGGCGAAGGCGGCGACCUGGUCCAUUACUGACGCUGAGGCGCGACAGCGUGGGGAGCAAACAGGG
rnacentral:rRNA from 1 species